UCGUUGAAUAGCCAGUGAUUUUUGGAUGUUUGAUAUUUUUGAUUAAGGAUAUGAGGCACUAGCCUGGCAAGCCAGACUAUAACAUGAAAUGUACAAGCAAAAAUACUUUCUGCCACUAGGUAGGGUUGUCUAGUUCACUAUGCUAAUGGGGCACACCUUUCUAUGCUUUGAUAUCCGGCCUACAGGUUUUACGAUGAAUGCGUAAAAUGGGCAUCCCCUGUUUUAAAAACCAGCAGCCGCCACUGCCACAGAUGCAACACUUCACUCUUUCCCCAGACCUGCAUCUUCAUGUUUCCUUCCACAUCCAGCACAUUGCUGUUUACCAGGAGACAGUGGGGCUCGUCCACAGGGGCAGGUGGAGCACAAACCUGAUUCACAGCUCCACACAUUUUACUGUCACCAAUGAUUUUUUUUUUUAUGUUAUUUGACAUGUCAAAAAAAAUUAACUCACUCUGUUGCUGGUGUUAUAGAAUCCUCUUUUGUUGGAUUAACCAAACAAAGUCGCUUUUUAAGGUGUAAUUAAGUCAGUUGGUUUAUUUCAAUUAUGAUUAAGACUUCUUUAUAUUAACUCAACAACAUGCCAUUAAAUCAAUACAACCUUUCUAAAUAAAACACAUAUUACAUUCAGCGUUAACAAUGUUUGUCCUUCUGUUGAUGCCCUACCUCCUUGAGUUCCUUCAGAGAAAUUUGCUGCUCAAUGAUGCUCCGCCAUUUUGCCUUACUUCGCUCACCGAACGUCUGAGAUCCAGAGUAUUUAAGACUUUCAUGUGGCUGUGCAAAGAGUGUAAGACAGCAGUGUCUUCGAGGUCUCUCUUGUUAAAGCAUUACAGAGUAAGAGUUGGAGUGGACCUAAAAUGACAGACUGUGUAAAGCUUUGAAUUAUCCUUGGAGAAAACAACUCUGAAAAAUUGAUCUUGCCGUCUGGAAUACCAGAGUCUGUUGACGACCUUAAACUUGAGAUUGAAAGACAGUCAGUACGUUUACAUGCACAUCCAAAUUGAGCUGCUGUCAGUAAUCGAGCUAAGGGUCCCAGCAGGGGUGCCAGAGAAAUCCAAUCCUACAUGCACACAAGGGAAUCGAGCUAUUGUGUGAGGUGCAUUGUGCACCCGAGCCACAGGUGGCGCUACAUGCCCCAUCGUGUUGGUACACUUCCGGUUGUCGUCAUGAAGAAGAGCUAUUCAAGAGUAUAAACAAAGUUAUCAGUUCCGUGUUCACAAGAAAUUUUACUGGUCUAAAUCACUACAAAUUGCUCUAAUGACAGAUUUGAUGACAUUUCCUGUACAUUUUAUUUAUCUUUUUAUUACAUCCACCUGCCAAGGGACUACAGGCAGAAAUUAGCAUGUACUGCUAUAACCUGGUACUGACAUCUGUCCUUACCACAAGAAUAAUGUUUAAUUUGUACACUGUCCCUUUUAAAAAAUAAAAUAAACU